rnacentral:rRNA from 1 species
CUAUACAUGACUCUGCGCAUAUCAAUAAGCGGAGGAAAAGAAACUAACAAGGAUUCCCCUAGUAACGGCGAGUGAAGCGGGAAGAGCUCAAAUUUGAAAUCUUAAAGGGUUUCCCUUUACGAAUUGUAGUUUAAAGAAGUGUUUUCUGUUGAGGUUUUGGUAAAAGUUCUUUGGAAUAGGACAUCAUAGAGGGUGAGAAUCCCGUAUUUGACCUUUACUUUCAACUUUGUGAUACACUUUCAAAGAGUCGGAUUGUUUGGGAAUGCAGUCCAAAAUGGGUGGUAAAUUUCAUCUAAAGCUAAAUAUUGGCGAGAGACCGAUAGCGAACAAGUACCGUGAGGGAAAGAUGAAAAGGACUUUGAAAAGAGAGUUAAACAGUACGUGAAAUUGUCAAAAGGGAAGCGUUUGACACCAGUGUUGUUUUUCUGAAAAUCAAUUAAAGAACUGUUUAUGCUAAGCUGUUUAGACUUUAUCAGCUAUCUGUUUAGUUUUGAGCUUUUCUUUAAUGCACUUUUCAGUUAACAAGUCAACAUCAAUUUCUUUUGCUGUAAAAAAGCUUGAGGAAGGUGGCUUGAGAUUCGUCUUAAGUGUUUAUAGCCUCUUGCCUAUGCAGUCGGAGAGAUUGAGGUCUGCAGCGUAGAUCCUUCGGGGCUAAAUGCAUUUGUGCUAAGUUAUAGCAUUUUAUAGACAACUUGUUGACAUAUGAUUUGUCUUGUAGCUUACUCGCUUAUGUUAUUUUACCUACGCUUAGGAUGUUGAUCUACAGAGCGAGAGU